AAUUAACCCAUUAAGCGCCAGCGCUCUCCCCUUGACGAGUAAAAUCGUCUGGCAUUAGACAGAGUAAAAUACUAAAGUAGGGUGCAUCAGGGUGCAAUGCGACUCAAUGGGUUAACUAGACACAUGGGCAGAUAGGCCAGUUAACCCAUUAAGCGCCAGCGCUCUCCCCUUGACGAGUAAAAUCGUCUGGCGUUAGACAGAGUAAAAUACUAAAGUAGGGUGCAUCAGGGUGCAAUGCGACUCAAUGGGUUAAACAAUAAA